rnacentral:rRNA from 1 species
GAGUUUGAUCGUGGCUCAGGACGAACGCUGGCGGCGUGCCUAAUGCAUGCAAGUCGCACGCGCCGCCUUCGGGUGGUGAGUGGCGCACGGCUGAGGAUCACGUGGGAACAUGCCUCUCGGUGGGGGACAACAGCGCGAAAGCGCUGCUAAUCCCGCAUACGCUCACGCAAGUGAGGAAAGCCGCAAGGCACCGGGAGAGUGGCCCGCGGCCCAUCAGGUCGUAGGUGGGGUAAUGGCCUACCUAGCCGAUGACGGGUAGCUGGUCUGUGAGGACAGACAGCCAGACUGGGACUGAGACACGGCCCAGACUCCUACGGGAGGCAGCAGCAAGGAAUUUUCGUCAAUGGGCGCAAGCCUGAACGAGCAACGCCGCGUGCAGGAUGACGGCC